UGGUUCUGGCAUCGAUGAAGAACGCAGCGAAAUGCGAUAAGUAAUGUGAAUUGCAGAUUUUAGUGAAUCAUCGAAUUUUUGAACGCACAUUGCACCUCUUGGUAUUCCUUGAGGUAUAUCUGUUCGAGCGCCGUUUUUACUAUUAAGACAUUGUCUUGUGUUUGAAAUUACAAUAAAUAUCUCGGUGUUUUAGUAAUUCAGAAAUUUAUAAGCAUUAUAGUGUGUAAUAAUCACAAUGAACUGUGAAUAAUUAUAUAAUAUUCUUGCUAUUGGUUUAUACAUAAAAACUAUAAACUAAAACUAAAACAAAGCUUGGCCUCGAAUCAGAUAGGAUUACCCGCUGA
rnacentral:misc_RNA from 1 species